CUGUUGAAGAUGGAGUUGCUCUGGUUCAAACAGCUCUGACAAUAACAAUUAGAACCCCAUGUGAAGUAGAUUUUUCUGGAUGAAAUUGUUUAGAGAAGUUCCAUUGUAAACAAAGCCACAUAGCAUCACACUUUUUACCCAAGUUUUUACUAUACUGCAGCCUUUUGUGUACGUUUUGAGAACAUCCAAGACAUAAACCUGACCAGAGAAGAAGGGAGAUUGUAUCCAAGAAUAAUAGGGAUUUAGAUUUGCUGGUCAGAAUGGAGCCAGACAUUCAGUUUGAGUACGGUUGAUGGUACGUUUUUGAGAUGCUGCAGCGGCGACUUUCAGUUUCAUUUCCACGGACC
rnacentral:sRNA from 1 species